CAAACUUCGCCGCCGGGUGAAGUCUAUAAUAAAAGCACAGAAUGGUAUACCUUUAGGCCGUAGUAGGUAUCCAUUUGGUGCUUUUUUAUA
rnacentral:ncRNA from 1 species